GAUGAACGCUGGCGGCGUGCCUAAUACAUGCAAGUCGAGCGAACGGACGAGAAGCUUGCUUUUCUGAUGUUAGCGGCGGACGGGUGAGUAACACGUGGAUAACCUACCUAUAAGACUGGGAUAACUUCGGGAAACCGGAGCUAAUAUCGGAUAAUAUUUUGAACCGCAUGGUUCAAAAGUGAAAGACGGUCUUGCUGUCACUUAUAGAUGGAUCCGCGCUGCAUUAGCUAGUUGGUAAGGUAACGGCUUACCAAGGCAACGAUGCAUAGCCGACCUGAGAGAGUGAUCGGCCACACUGGAGCUGAGACACGGUCCAGACUCCUACGGGAGGCAGCAGUAGGGAAUCUUCCGCAAUGGGCGAAAGCCUGACGGAGCAACGCCGCGUGAGUGAUGAAGGUCUUCGGAUCGUAAAACUCUGUUAUGAGGGAAGAACAUAUGUGUAAGUAACUGUGCACAGCUUGACGGUACCUAAUCAGAAAGCCACGGCUAACUACGUG
rnacentral:rRNA from 1 species